GGGGCUGUAGCUCAGCUGGGAGAGCGCUGCAAUCGCACUGCAGAGGUCGACGGUUCGAUCCCGUUCAGCUCCA
rnacentral:tRNA from 1 species